AGAUAUUCAGCAUCAUAUUUGCCAUCAUGAUAUUUGCCAUCAUGUGGAGACAGCUUGUUUAAAAUGAAUCCAUCAUACAGGAAAAAGUGUGCCUCUUCCUCAGGCCCUCAACUCCACUGAGGAUCCUGCCCUGUCUUAGGAAACCACUGCCAUAGGAAUACAGCCUAGCCCUGUGCAGCUCCAAAGCAGAGGCAUUCUACCCACAGAUCCGUGCAGAAAUCAGAGCCAGGAAAGCCCUACUAGGUCAUGCAGACCACACACCUUUUAGAGCAGGAAAGUCCUCUCCAAUUGACAUUUCAGCUCCUCUUCUGGCUCCAAAGUGUGGUUGUGCUUCAGUGGUCCUGUGCAUGGUUUGAAUAACAGUUUAUGAGCAUUCUGGGAUCCCUUGAAAAUAAAGGUUCCAUAUAAAGUUAUAUUGCUAUUUUGUUUAUUAUAAAAGUU
rnacentral:lncRNA from 10 species